AGAGGGAAAGGGGGGAGAGCGGGCCGGUGGGAGUCAAUGCCGUUCGUCGCGCCGUUGUCGUCACCGAUGAUGGAGGACCGAGGAGAGUGUGUCGCGGAGAAGGGGGAGCUCGCGCGAGUGAGGAGCGUCGUCACCGCUGUCGCGCCUUGUGCUGCCAGCUUCAUUGCACCUGAUCAUCAUCAUUGCUGCUGGACCUCCGUGUCGCACCGGCGUCGCGAGUUGUUAUCGAGCCUCCACAAGCAGGACCCGAAGCGAAGAGAGAGACAAAACAACGCGAGGAGAUAGAGAAGGCAUUGCGGGGUGGUUUCUGCCGCCGCUGCUUUCUCUGCCAUCGCCGUCUGUGGAGCUUGCCGCCGCCGGAGUCACGAGCCGAGGUGGGGGAGGAGGCCAUCUUCCCUAUUAUUGCAGUCACCGUGCUGCUACUACUACGCUUCAUUUUCUUGUUUUCCUUAAUUACUGAUUAAGCCGCUGCAGUUGUGGGCUGUGACGGUUGAUGCUCUUUAAGAAUCGUUGCUGCUGGGGUGACUGGAAUGGCUACUGCUAGUUCUAACGUUGCUACCGUUGCUGUUGACUUACCCCAAUUCAAGUUUAGUGUCACUGCCCUAGGUCUAGUCUUUCUCCUGACUCUGUUUCACUUUUAUACUCUGAACUGCCUUGGUCUUGUUUAUCUGUUUGUUAUGGUUUUAAUUCCAUUUUAGUUUCGGUGUCGCCUUGAAUUUUCAGAGUUGUUUUUGCGUUUGAUUCCAUCAAAUUU